AUUUUCUUUAAAUUUAAAGAAUUUGGCGGUAAUUUAGUCUAGUCAGAGGAACCUGCUUUAUUUAAUCGAUAAAACACGUAAAAUCUUACUUAUUUUUAUUUAGUUUGUAUACCAUCAUUAGCAGAUAAUUUUAUAAAAAAGAAAUUGUUAAAUUUAAUUAUUAUUAGGGAAAUUAGAUCAAGGUGCAGCUUAUGAAUAAGGUGAAGUGGGUUACAAUAAGAUAUACUUAAACGGAAUGAGAUUAGUUAGCUGCUUAUGAAGGAGGAUUUGAUUGUAAUAUGAGUUUAAUAUGCUUAGG
rnacentral:rRNA from 1 species